rnacentral:tRNA from 2 species
GCCGACGUAGCCCAACGGCAAGAGGCACACGCCUUAGAAGCGUGGUGAUGUGAGUUCAAAUCUCACCGUCGGUA